CAUAAAUGAGCAACAAGAUCAACUAAACAGCCGAUCAAACAACCAUCAUCGAUCCAUCUACUACAACAACACAACAAACAAUUGCUGUUAUUAUAACCAAAGAGCGGGUGAUUUUAAGAUCAUAGCUGCUGUUCGUAUUGCAGAUUUAUGGAAUGGAUUUUGAAAGAAACGCAAGAACCUUAUAUGGCAUGUGGAAUGAUGAAGUAAUGAUUAUAAACAAUCUUUGGUACAUAAUAUUCAACCAACUCCACCGCAAGCCUUGUUCAAAUACAAUUCACAGAAGUUCGAAAUAAAGAAGAAGUUGAUGAAAAUAAAGCAACAGAAUAUGAUGAAGAUGAUGAUGACGCUAAAGUUGAAAAAAAGAGUUUUUAUUGCAACCAAAAGCAACUGUGUGAAUUCUUUCGGUUUUCAAUGAACGUGUUUAAAAUUUAGAUGAGUUUCUUUUGUUGUUGUCUUCUUUGGUUGGAUUUUGUGUAUUCGUAACAAUACAAAAAUGACAUUUAUAAUGUCAUAAAAGUUU